rnacentral:rRNA from 1 species
UACGUAGGGUGCAAGCGUUGUCCGGAAUUACUGGGCGUAAAGAGCGCGCAGGCGGUCGUUCAAGUCGAGUGUGAAAGCCCCCGGCUCAACUGGGGAGGGUCACUCGAUACUGAUCGACUGGAAGGCAGGAGAGGGAAGCGGAAUUCCCGGUGUAGUGGUGAAAUGCGUAGAUAUCGGGAGGAACACCAGUGGCGAAGGCGGCUCACUGGCCCGGUACUGACGCUGAGGUGCGAAAGCGUGGGGAGCAAACAGG